rnacentral:rRNA from 1 species
AGUGAACGCUGGCGGUAGGCCUAACACAUGCAAGUCGAACGGCAGCACAGUAAGAGCUUGCUCUUACGGGUGGCGAGUGGCGGACGGGUGAGGAAUACAUCGGAAUCUACUUUUUCGUGGGGGAUAACGUAGGGAAACUUACGCUAAUACCGCAUACGACCUACGGGUGAAAGCAGGGGAUCUUCGGACCUUGCGCGAUUGAAUGAGCCGAUGUCGGAUUAGCUAGUUGGCGGGGUAAAGGCCCACCAAGGCGACGAUCCGUAGCUGGUCUGAGAGGAUGAUCAGCCACACUGGAACUGAGACACGGUCCAGACUCCUACGGGAGGCAGCAGUGGGGAAUAUUGAACAAUGGGCGCAAGCCUGAUCCAGCCAUGCCGCGUGGGUGAAGAAGGCCUUCGGGUUGUAAAGCCCUUUUGUUGGGAAAGAAAAGCAGCAGGUUAAUACCCCGCUGUUCUGACGGUACCCAAAGAAUAAGCACCGGCUAACUUCGUG